GCCGGCGUAGCUCAGCGGGCCAGAGCAGCUGAUUUGUAAUCAGCAGGUCGUGGGUUCGAAUCCCGCCGCCGGCU
rnacentral:tRNA from 1 species